rnacentral:rRNA from 1 species
AGGGCGUACGGUGGAUGCCUUGGUGCCAGGAGGCGAUGAAGGGCGUGGUUAGCUGCGUUAAGCUUCGGGUAGUCGCUAGCAGACGUUAAUCCGGAGAUUUCCGAAUGGGGAAACCCGUCUCGAUGAACUCGGGACAUCCCGCACUGAAUACAUAGGUGCGUGGAGGCGAACGGGGGGAACUGAAACAUCUAAGUACCCCUAGGAAAAGAAAAAGCAUUUUAUUCCCUCAGUAGCGGCGAGCGAACGGGGAGAAGCCCAAACCAAUUGCGUGUAAGCUCGUGAGCGUUGUGCAGUUGGGGUUGCGGGGCCGUACUAGGCGGAGUCACGAAUUCGCCGGGAAGUCAAAAAUUCACUCUUUAGAUGAAUGAUCUGGAAAGGUCAACCAAAGAAGGUGACAGUCCUGUAGUUGAAAGGGAGUGAACUUCCUGAGUAUGGUUCCCAAGUACCACGGGACACGAGAAAUCCUGUGGGAAUCCGGCCUGACCACAGGCCAAGGCUAAAUACUACCUGGCGACCGAUAGUGAACCAGUACCGUGAGGGAAAGGUGAAAAGCACCCCGGUGAGGGGAGUGAAAUAGAACCUGAAACCGUAUGCCUACAAGCAGUGGGAGGGCUAUGUCCGUCUUCGGGCGGAAAUGCCUGACCGCGUGCCUUUUGCAUAAUGAGCCGGCGAGUUACUCUGUGCAGCAAGGUUAAUUCUGUAAGGGAAGGAGCCGAAGCGAAAGCGAGUCUUAAUAGGGCGAUUUAGUUGUGUGGAGUAGACACGAAUCCGAGUGAGCUACCCAUGGCCAGGAUGAAGCAAAUGUAACAAUUUGUGGAGGUCCGAACCAGUGUCGGUUGAAAACGGCUUGGAUGAGCUGUGGGUAGGGGUGAAAGACUAAUCAAACUCGGGAAUAGCUUGUUCUCCCCGAAAUAGCUUUAGGGCUAGCCUCACGUGAUAAGCAUUGGUGGUAGAGCACUGGAUGGACUAGGGGCCCCACAAGGUGACCAAACCCAACCAAACUCCGAAUGCCGAUGUCUCGUAUCGUGGGAGUCAGACUGUGGGCGAUAAGGUCAAUAGUCGAGAGGGAAACAGCCCAGACCAUCAGCUAAGGUCCCAAAGUACAGGCUAAGUGGGAAAGGAAGUAGAAGCGCACAGACAACCAGGAGGUUGGCUUAGAAGCAGCCAUCCUUUAAAGAAAGCGUAAUAGCUCACUGGUCAAGUGAAUCUGCGCCGAAAAUUCAACGGGGCUCAAGCCUGUCACCGAAGCUAUGGAAUAGGAGUCUUCGGACUUCGAUUGGUAGGGGAGCAUUCUGUAACAGAUACACGACAGACCGUGAGGACUGUUAUCGGGUUACAGAAGAGAUCAUGCCGGCAUGAGUAGCGAAAAAACAGGUGAAAAACCUGUUCGCCGAAAGCCUAAGGUUUCCUGGGGAAGGUUAAUCCGCCCAGGGUUAGUCGGUGCCUUAGCCGAGGCCGAAAGGCGUAGGUGAUGGACAGCAGGUCAAUAUUCCUGCACCGCCAGAGUCGUGUUUGAGCGAUGGGGGGACGCAGAAGGAUGGGGAUACAUCCUAUUGGAUGGAUGGCCGCGAUCGUAGGAGGGGCAGCUAGGCAAAUCCGGCAGCCCAUAUACUCUGAGGAAAGCGGGGAAGCGCGUCUUCGGACAAGCCAACUUCCUGACUCCACGCUGCCAAGAAAAGCCUCUAAGUGAAUGGCUCUGGUGACCGUACCGCAAACCGACACAGGUAGGCUGGGAGAGAAUCCUAAGGCGCUUGAGUGAAACCUCGUUAAGGAACUCGGCAAAAUUGCCCCGUAACUUCGGAAGAAGGGGCGCCCCCAUUAGGUGAAGAGACUUGCUCUCGGAGCUGAAGGGGGCCGCAGUGAAAUGGUCCAGGCGACUGUUUACUAAAAACACAGGACUCUGCUAAGUCGUAAGACGACGUAUAGGGUCUGACGCCUGCCCGGUGCCGGAAGGUUAAAGGGAGGGGUUAUUUUCUUCGGAAGAGAAGCUCUGAACUGAAGCCCCGGUAAACGGCGGCCGUAACUAUAACGGUCCUAAGGUAGCGAAAUUCCUUGUCGGGUAAGUUCCGACCUGCACGAAUGGCGUAACGAUCUGGACACUGUCUCAACGAGGAGCUCAGCGAAAUUGUAGUACCGGUGAAGAUGCCGGUUACCCGCGAUAAGACGGAAAGACCCCGUGAACCUUUACUACAGCUUGGCAUUGGAUUCUGGGCUAGGAUGUGUAGGAUAGUUGCGAAGCUUUGAAGCGGUCGCACUAGCGGUCGUCGCGCCAUCCUUGAAAUACCACCCCCCU